ACUCCUACGGAGGCAGCAGUGGGGAAUUUUGGACAAUGGGCGAAAGCCUGAUCCAGCAAUGCCGCGUGAGUGAAGAAGGCCUUCGGGUUGUAAAGCUCUUUUGUCAGGGAAGAAACGGUGAGAGCUAAUAUCUCUUGCUAAUGACGGUACCUGAAGAAUAAGCACCGGCUAACUACGUGCCAGCAGCCGCGGUAAUACGUAGGGUGCAAGCGUUAAUCGGAAUUACUGGGCGUAAAGCGUGCGCAGGCGGUUUUGUAAGUCUGAUGUGAAAUCCCCGGGCUCAACCUGGGAAUUGCAUUGGAGACUGCAAGGCUAGAAUCUGGCAGAGGGGGGUAGAAUUCCACGUGUAGCAGUGAAAUGCGUAGAUAUGUGGAGGAACACCGAUGGCGAAGGCAGCCCCCUGGGUCAAGAUUGACGCUCAUGCACGAAAGCGUGGGGAGCAAACAGGAUUAGAAACCCGGGUAGUCCCAUGA
rnacentral:rRNA from 1 species